UACGUAGGUGACAAGCGUUGUCCGGAUUUACUGGGCGUAAAGAGCGCGCAGGCGGUCGAUCAAGUCGAGUGUGAAAGCCCCCGGCUCAACUGGGGAGGGUCAUUCGAUACUGAUCGACUCGAAGGCAGGAGAGGGUAGUGGAAUUCCCGGUGUAGUGGUGAAAUGCGCAGAUAUCAGGAGGAACACCGGUGGCGAAGGCGGUUCUCUGGGCAUGUCCUGACGCUGAGGAGCGAAAGUGUGGGGAGCGAACAGG
rnacentral:rRNA from 1 species